UAAACACAUCAUCUGACCCAGCUGCCUGUGUGUGUGUGUGUGUGUGUGUGUGUGUGUGUGUGUGUGGGUGUGUGUGUGUGUGUGUGUGUGUGUUGCUUCACUCUUCUCAGCUGAUGUCAGACUAUAUUUUAAAACAUGACUUCAUUCUGCAAAAACUCCAGGGAAAGGAGAAAGUGAAAACCCAGCAUCAUGCAGCAGGUUUUCUGGAAGCAGGUCAGCUGAGGCCUCCUCCUGCCUGGAAGGCUGGAGGCGCGGCCGGUGUCUGGCAGGCGGACAGGCGACACCACAGCAGCUUUUUGUCCAGUUUAGGGAAAGUGAAGAGGAAGAAGGCGCUGGUUCCUUUGUCACACACACAAGGCGCCCCAUGAGAGAGUGUGUCCUCAUUCAUGAAGCUCUGAUAAGUAACCAUUCCUGGUUAUGUAACAUAAACGAGUCGGAGUGUUUACAGGAACACAGUUUGCUUACAGGCAGACUUUCAGCUUCCUGGAGUCGUUUUACUUUCCUUUAAACGUUGGAGGAAGAGAAGCUGCAAAAUGUUUUCACCUGCGAGAAACUGAGGAAAAUGAAGAGAUUGAUGCUCCGGCCUCCUGCACUUCCAUUGACCAUAAGAUUGAGCAAUUUGACAUUUUGAAAAUAAAUGGAAACACGGCAACUUUGAAAAAAACUUGUUUUUUAUGUUUUAUGAUGAGGUGGCUUUCAUGGUCGUAUCAAAGUGGAUUUAUUUCCCAAUUUAAUUUUGUUUGUUUUCAAACUUUACUUAGAGUUUUCCUCCUAUUGCAUUAACAACAGUCUGGGGAAAAUAGAAACAAUAAAAAACACAGGAUAAGUUAUUUUGCAAAGCUGCAAUGGAAACACUUUAUCUGCAUCACAAGUCACAUGAUCAACAACCGGAUGUUACUACUGGUGGAAACCAUGAAGAAGAAGUCAACAGGAAGUAGUUGAAGGAUGAUGUCACUGCAUGUUUGUUAAGGCUUAUCAUGUUAAUAAACUUAUUCAGAUGUGA